AUUGGUGCUUGCAUCAUGAUUUACAUUUGAGUGAGUGGCGAACUGGUGAGUAACACGUGGGAAACCUGCCCAGAAGCGGGGGAUAACACCUGGAAACAGAUGCUAAUACCGCAUAACAACUUGGACCGCAUGGUCCGAGUUUGAAAGAUGGCUUCGGCUAUCACUUUUGGAUGGUCCCGCGGCGUAUUAGCUAGAUGGUGGGGUAACGGCUCACCAUGGCAAUGAUACGUAGCCGACCUGAGAGGGUAAUCGGCCACAUUGGGACUGAGACACGGCCCAAACUCCUACGGGAGGCAGCAGUAGGGAAUCUUCCACAAUGGACGAAAGUCUGAUGGAGCAACGCCGCGUGAGUGAAGAAGGGUUUCGGCUCGUAAAACUCUGUUGUUAAAGAAGAACAUAUCUGAGAGUAACUGUUCAGGUAUUGACGGUAUUUAACCAGAAAGCCACGGCUAACUACGUGCCAGCAGCCGCGGUAAUACGUAGGUGGCAAGCGUUGUCCGGAUUUAUUGGGCGUAAAGCGAGCGCAGGCGGUUUUUUAAGUCUGAUGUGAAAGCCUUCGGCUCAACCGAAGAAGUGCAUCGGAAACUGGGAAACUUGAGUGCAGAAGAGGACAGUGGAACUCCAUGUGUAGCGGUGAAAUGCGUAGAUAUAUGGAAGAACACCAGUGGCGAAGGCGGCUGUCUGGUCUGUAACUGACGCUGAGGCUCGAAAGUAUGGGUAGCAAACAGGAUUAGAUACCCUGGUAGUCCAUACCCUAAACGAUGAAUGCUAAGUGUUGGAGGGUUUCCGCCCUUCAGUGCUGCAGCUAACGCAUUAAGCAUUCCGCGUGGGGAGUACGGCCGCAAGGAUGAAACUCAAAGGAAUUGACGGGGGCCCGCACAAGCGGUGGAGCAUGUGGUUUAAUUCGAAGCUACGCGAAGAACCUUACCAGGUCUUGACAUACUAUGCAAAUCUAAGAGAUUAGACGUUCCCUUCGGGGACAUGGAUACAGGUGGUGCAUGGUUGUCGUCAGCUCGUGUCGUGAGAUGUUGGGUUAAGUCCCGCAACGAGCGCAACCCUUAUUAUCAGUUGCCAGCAUUAAGUUGGGCACUCUGGUGAGACUGCCGGUGACAAACCGGAGGAAGGUGGGGAUGACGUCAAAUCAUCAUGCCCCUUAUGACCUGGGCUACACACGUGCUACAAUGGAUGGUACAACGAGUUGCGAACUCGCGAGAGUAAGCUAAUCUCUUAAAGCCAUUCUCAGUUCGGAUUGUAGGCUGCAACUCGCCUACAUGAAGUCGGAAUCGCUAGUAAUCGCGGAUCAGCAUGCCGCGGUGAAUACGUUCCCGGGCCUUGUACACACCGCCCGUCACACCAUGAGAGUUUGUAACACCCAAAGUCGGUG
rnacentral:rRNA from 2 species